rnacentral:rRNA from 1 species
CCUACGUGUGGCAGCAGUGAGGAAUAUUGGUCAAUGGCCGGAAGGCUGAACCAGCCAUGCCGCGUGAAGGUCAGUGCCCUAUGGGCGUUAACCUUCUUUUAUAAAGGAAUCAAGUGAGGCACGUGUGCAUUUUUGUCUGUACUUUAUGAAUAAGGAUAGGCUAACUCCGUGCCAGCAGCCGCGGUAAUACGGAGGCUCCGAGCGUUAUCCGGAUUUAUAGGUUUUAAAGGGAGCGUAGAUGGGUUGUUAAGUCAGUUGUGAAAGUUUGCGGCUCAACCGUAAAAUUGCAAUUGAUACUGGCAGUCUUGAGUACAGUUGAGGUAGGCGGAAUUCGUGGUGUAGCGGUGAAAUGCUUAGAUAUCACGAAGAACUCCGAUUGCGAAGGCAGCUUACUAAACUGCCACUGACAUUGAUGCGCGAAAGUGUGGGUAGCAAACAGGAUUAGAUACCCGUGUAGUC